rnacentral:miRNA from 2 species
UGAAUGAUCUUGUUUUAACUGAA